GGCGGCGCCGGGGGUGCCAGCCGCCUCCUCUGGCCGCCGGCCCGUCGGCCCUGCAAAGUUUAAAGCCAAUUCCCUUUGCGUCCUGGGAGCCGAGCGUUUUCUCUCUCUGCUGACACUCCCAGCAGCCCUGCCUGGCCAGGCCAGGCUGGAGAGCACCCGGACCAUUUUCCAGACGGUGAGAUGGAGGCCUGGAAACCGAGCUUAUGAGCAGCCCGGAGCUUUCCAUUGCCUGCUCAGCCUUCCAGAUACAUCCCAGUUCCAGUUCUCUCCAGGCCCCUCUGGGAUCCAGCCAGCCUGCUUCCCCGCCAGGGCCCCGCUGCUUCCAAAAUGGGCCUGUGCAGCGUCAUUCAGGAAGCCCGUGGUACUCACAUCACUUUGGCCAGAUGCUAACAAGAAAAUGAUCCACUGUGACGCAGCUGACCCCAUCCAGUGCAUCCACAUUACCUGGAAAGAAGCAAUUAUGCCCCUUUGGUUUCCUUGGAAAUGCUCGGUCUGUCUGUACCAUCCUCCCUGGCUCUUGAGAAAUACCCAUGCACAGUGGAGCUUUGACAGGGAAGCAGUGCGUUUACUUUCAAACUGAAAGUUUACAGAAUACAAAGUGAGCCUAUAAGAUGGAUGGCCAUUCUCCAGAGGCUUGUUGGCCAGACAGGAAGGAAAACCAGUGCACCAUCAGGAAUGUGGAGGAGACUGAAAGAGAGGGACAAACAUAUUGGAUUGCAUCGGGCCCCCACAGUCAAGUUCCUGCAAACCCAGCUGGGAUAUUUUCCUAAGGGUUAUGGUCUUGGGCCUCAAAGCUCCCCAGUCAAAGCCCAGCCUCUGUGCCAGGGAGGACACAAGAGGACAGAGACAGCCUCUGUGUCAGGAGGAGGGAAGAAGGACUAAUGUCUGCGGACCCUCCGAGGCUCACAGGGAGAAGCCACACACUCACAGCACCAGGUAUAUUAUCUCUGUUCUCCCACUUGACUUUAAGCUCAAUGAAUGCCAGGACCCUUAAAACAAAGCACAUAGCAAGUUUUCAGUGAAGUCUUGUUAAUUUUCAAAUGGAGGAAUAAAUGAACGACUAUAUUUCCACUUCGCAGAUGAGUAAACAGAGGCUUGGAGGGGUGAUGAAAUUUGCCAACAGUCACCGAUCAUUCCAGGAACAGGUGAUGCUUCCUGGCAGUGAGAUUCUAAACCAGCGGGAGUUCCCAGCCAGAGACAUGAUCUAAGUGCCAAUGGCUGAAUGUCUGUGAGCAUUUGAAGUCAUUGUAAGAACAGGCAACGUUAGCGGCACCAUUAAAGCCUGCUGUUCCUCCAGCCCAUCACUGCCAUCCCCACCUAUUAAAAUAAUGGUAUGAAAAAUAAACAGCCUUUAUGGACAAUUUUA